UUUUUUAAAAGAAAAAUGAUAUGCUUCAAAGCCUUUAUUUGGAUAAUAUGCUGUAUAUCACUUACUAAUGCAUUACUGAAUGAUACUAUCACUGACAAUGCCACAAUGGUAUGCCCACCAAUUCUUGAUAAAGCUGUAAAAGGUGGGUUUAUUAAUCGUAUUGUAGCAUGUUCCUUUAAUAAACAAAGUUGCAGCUAUCAAAUAUCUGGUUUUAACAAAAGUGUAGAUUUUCCAUCUGCAAGACUUCCAAACACUUCUUUUGCUUCAAGCAAUGGUCCUGGUUAUAUAUAUGGAAAUACUGGUUCAUUUCGUAUCGAUGUUCCAGCAAGCUUAUAUGAUGAUAUACAAAAUUUUGAUCUUUAUAUAACAAUUGCGUAUUUCUUUCAAAUUGGACCAUACUAUUUUGGAGUGGCAAAUACUGGCAGAAUUUUUUACAAUUCUUCAAGUAUAAUUACAAAUAACUCCUAUUCAGUUAAUUGGGUUGUAUUAAAUGCAAGAUAUCCUCAUACUUCACCUGGUUUUAAUUUUAAUCUUUAUGGAAAUGGUGAAUUCAUAAGAUUUGACGAUAUCUGCAUUUAUCAAGUCUGUAAAACUGGUUUUUUAUUCAAUAGUUCAUCAAAUCUAUGUGAAGACUUAAAUGAAUGUGCUUUAUCAAGUACAAACAAUUGCACAGCUAAUGCUAGCUGUAAUAACUUUGUUGGUGGAUACAAUUGUACAUGUAAAAGUGGUUUCAAUGCAAGUAAUGGUGGAAUAGAAUUGCUAUCUAAUCUUUGUUUAGACAUCAAUGAAUGUGAACUUUCAAGCAAAAACAACUGCUCUGCUAAUGCCAUAUGCAAUAAUUUGGUCGGUGGAUACAACUGCACAUGUAAAAGUGGGUUCAAUACUAGUGACGGAGGAAUAGAAUCUCUUUCAAAUCAGUGUUUAGACGUUAAUGAAUGUGUUUUGUCAAACAAAAACAACUGCUCAGUUAAUGCGACCUGUAACAAUUUUGCUGGCGGAUACAACUGCACAUGUAAAAGUGGGUUCAACACAAGUAACGGUGGAAUAGAAUCUCUUUCAAACCAGUGUUUGGACAUUAAUGAGUGUGCUUUGUCAAACAAAAACAACUGCUCAGUUAAUGCAAUCUGUAACAAUUUUGUUGGUGGAUAUAAUUGCACAUGUAAAAGUGGUUUCAACACAAGUAGCGGUGGAGUAGAGGCGCUCCUGAGCCAAUGUCUUGACAUCAAUGAAUGUGAACUUUCAAGCAAAAACAACUGCUCUGCUAAUGCCAUAUGCAAUAAUUUGGUCGGUGGAUACAACUGCACAUGUAAAAGUGGGUUCAAUACUAGUGACGGAGGAAUAGAAUCUCUUUCAAAUCAGUGUUUAGACGUUAAUGAAUGUGUUUUGUCAAACAAAAACAACUGCUCAGUUAAUGCGACCUGUAACAAUUUUGCUGGCGGAUACAACUGCACAUGUAAAAGUGGGUUCAACACAAGUAACGGUGGAAUAGAAUCUCUUUCAAACCAGUGUUUGGACAUUAAUGAGUGUGCUUUGUCAAACAAAAACAACUGCUCAGUUAAUGCAAUCUGUAACAAUUUUGUUGGUGGAUAUAAUUGCACAUGUAAAAGCGGUUUCAACACAAGUAGCGGUGGAGUAGAGGCGCUCCUGAGCCAAUGUCUUGACAUCAAUGAAUGUGAACUUUCAAGCAAAAACAACUGCUCUGCUAAUGCCAUAUGCAAUAAUUUGGUCGGUGGAUACAACUGCACAUGUAAAAGUGGGUUCAAUACUAGUGACGGAGGAAUAGAAUCUCUUUCAAAUCAGUGUUUAGACGUUAAUGAAUGUGUUUUGCCAAACAAAAACAACUGCUCAGUUAAUGCGACCUGUAACAAUUUUGCUGGCGGAUACAACUGCACAUGUAAAAGUGGGUUCAACACAAGUAACGGUGGAAUAGAAUCUCUUUCAAACCAGUGUUUGGACAUUAAUGAGUGUGCUUUGUCAAACAAAAACAACUGCUCAGUUAAUGCAAUCUGUAACAAUUUUGUUGGUGGAUAUAAUUGCACAUGUAAAAGCGGUUUCAACACAAGUAGCGGUGGAGUAGAGGCGCUCCUGAGCCAAUGUCUUGACAUCAAUGAAUGUGAACUUUCAAGCAAAAACAACUGCUCUGCUAAUGCCAUAUGCAAUAAUUUGGUCGGUGGAUACAACUGCACAUGUAAAAGUGGGUUCAAUACUAGUGACGGAGGAAUAGAAUCUCUUUCAAAUCAGUGUUUAGACGUUAAUGAAUGUGUUUUGUCAAACAAAAACAACUGCUCAGUUAAUGCGACCUGUAACAAUUUUGCUGGCGGAUACAACUGCACAUGUAAAAGUGGGUUCAACACAAGUAACGGUGGAAUAGAAUCUCUUUCAAACCAGUGUUUGGACAUUAAUGAGUGUGCUUUGUCAAACAAAAACAACUGCUCAGUUAAUGCAAUCUGUAACAAUUUUGUUGGUGGAUAUAAUUGCACAUGUAAAAGUGGUUUCAACACAAGUAGCGGUGGAGUAGAGGCGCUCCUGAGCCAAUGUCUUGACAUCAAUGAAUGUGAACUUUCAAGCAAAAACAACUGCUCUGCUAAUGCCAUAUGCAAUAAUUUGGUCGGUGGAUACAACUGCACAUGUAAAAGUGGGUUCAAUACUAGUGACGGAGGAAUAGAAUCUCUUUCAAAUCAGUGUUUAGACGUUAAUGAAUGUGUUUUGUCAAACAAAAACAACUGCUCAGUUAAUGCGACCUGUAACAAUUUUGCUGGCGGAUACAACUGCACAUGUAAAAGUGGGUUCAACACAAGUAACGGUGGAAUAGAAUCUCUUUCAAACCAGUGUUUGGACAUUAAUGAGUGUGCUUUGUCAAACAAAAACAACUGCUCAGUUAAUGCAAUCUGUAACAAUUUUGUUGGUGGAUAUAAUUGCACAUGUAAAAGUGGUUUCAACACAAGUAGCGGUGGAGUAGAGGCGCUCCUGAGCCAAUGUCUUGACAUCAAUGAAUGUGAACUUUCAAGCAAAAACAACUGCUCUGCUAAUGCCAUAUGCAAUAAUUUGGUCGGUGGAUACAACUGCACAUGUAAAAGUGGGUUCAAUACUAGUGACGGAGGAAUAGAAUCUCUUUCAAAUCAGUGUUUAGACGUUAAUGAAUGUGUUUUGUCAAACAAAAACAACUGCUCAGUUAAUGCGACCUGUAACAAUUUUGCUGGCGGAUACAACUGCACAUGUAAAAGUGGGUUCAACACAAGUAACGGUGGAAUAGAAUCUCUUUCAAACCAGUGUUUGGACAUUAAUGAGUGUGCUUUGUCAAACAAAAACAACUGCUCAGUUAAUGCAAUCUGUAACAAUUUUGUUGGUGGAUAUAAUUGCACAUGUAAAAGUGGUUUCAACACAAGUAGCGGUGGAGUAGAGGCGCUCCUGAGCCAAUGUCUUGACAUCAAUGAAUGUGAACUUUCAAGCAAAAACAACUGCUCUGCUAAUGCCAUAUGCAAUAAUUUGGUCGGUGGAUACAACUGCACAUGUAAAAGUGGGUUCAAUACUAGUGACGGAGGAAUAGAAUCUCUUUCAAAUCAGUGUUUAGACGUUAAUGAAUGUGUUUUGUCAAACAAAAACAACUGCUCAGUUAAUGCGACCUGUAACAAUUUUGCUGGCGGAUACAACUGCACAUGUAAAAGUGGGUUCAACACAAGUAACGGUGGAAUAGAAUCUCUUUCAAACCAGUGUUUGGACAUUAAUGAGUGUGCUUUGUCAAACAAAAACAACUGCUCAGUUAAUGCAAUCUGUAACAAUUUUGUUGGUGGAUAUAAUUGCACAUGUAAAAGUGGUUUCAACACAAGUAGCGGUGGAGUAGAGGCGCUCCUGAGCCAAUGUCUUGACAUCAAUGAAUGUGAACUUUCAAGCAAAAACAACUGCUCUGCUAAUGCCAUAUGCAAUAAUUUGGUCGGUGGAUACAACUGCACAUGUAAAAGUGGGUUCAAUACUAGUGACGGAGGAAUAGAAUCUCUUUCAAAUCAGUGUUUAGACGUUAAUGAAUGUGUUUUGUCAAACAAAAACAACUGCUCAGUUAAUGCGACCUGUAACAAUUUUGCUGGCGGAUACAACUGCACAUGUAAAAGUGGGUUCAACACAAGUAACGGUGGAAUAGAAUCUCUUUCAAACCAGUGUUUGGACAUUAAUGAGUGUGCUUUGUCAAACAAAAACAACUGCUCAGUUAAUGCAAUCUGUAACAAUUUUGUUGGUGGAUAUAAUUGCACAUGUAAAAGUGGUUUCAACAUAAGUAGCGGUGGAGUAGAGGCGCUCCUGAGCCAAUGUCUUGACAUCAAUGAAUGUGAACUUUCAAGCAAAAACAACUGCUCUGCUAAUGCCAUAUGCAAUAAUUUGGUCGGUGGAUACAACUGCACAUGUAAAAGUGGGUUCAAUACUAGUGACGGAGGAAUAGAAUCUCUUUCAAAUCAGUGUUUAGACGUUAAUGAAUGUGUUUUGUCAAACAAAAACAACUGCUCAGUUAAUGCGACCUGUAACAAUUUUGCUGGCGGAUACAACUGCACAUGUAAAAGUGGGUUCAACACAAGUAACGGUGGAAUAGAAUCUCUUUCAAACCAGUGUUUGGACAUUAAUGAGUGUGCUUUGUCAAACAAAAACAACUGCUCAGUUAAUGCAAUCUGUAACAAUUUUGUUGGUGGAUAUAAUUGCACAUGUAAAAGUGGUUUCAACACAAGUAGCGGUGGAGUAGAGGCGCUCCUGAGCCAAUGUCUUGACAUCAAUGAAUGUGAACUUUCAAGCAAAAACAACUGCUCUGCUAAUGCCAUAUGCAAUAAUUUGGUCGGUGGAUACAACUGCACAUGUAAAAGUGGGUUCAAUACUAGUGACGGAGGAAUAGAAUCUCUUUCAAAUCAGUGUUUAGACGUUAAUGAAUGUGUUUUGUCAAACAAAAACAACUGCUCAGUUAAUGCGACCUGUAACAAUUUUGCUGGCGGAUACAACUGCACAUGUAAAAGUGGGUUCAACACAAGUAACGGUGGAAUAGAAUCUCUUUCAAACCAGUGUUUGGACAUUAAUGAGUGUGCUUUGUCAAACAAAAACAACUGCUCAGUUAAUGCAAUCUGUAACAAUUUUGUUGGUGGAUAUAAUUGCACAUGUAAAAGUGGUUUCAACACAAGUAGCGGUGGAGUAGAGGCGCUCCUGAGCCAAUGUCUUGACAUCAAUGAAUGUGAACUUUCAAGCAAAAACAACUGCUCUGCUAAUGCCAUAUGCAAUAAUUUGGUCGGUGGAUACAACUGCACAUGUAAAAGUGGGUUCAAUACUAGUGACGGAGGAAUAGAAUCUCUUUCAAAUCAGUGUUUAGACGUUAAUGAAUGUGUUUUGUCAAACAAAAACAACUGCUCAGUUAAUGCGACCUGUAACAAUUUUGCUGGCGGAUACAACUGCACAUGUAAAAGUGGGUUCAACACAAGUAACGGUGGAAUAGAAUCUCUUUCAAACCAGUGUUUGGACAUUAAUGAGUGUGCUUUGUCAAACAAAAACAACUGCUCAGUUAAUGCAAUCUGUAACAAUUUUGUUGGUGGAUAUAAUUGCACAUGUAAAAGUGGUUUCAACACAAGUAGCGGUGGAGUAGAGGCGCUCCUGAGCCAAUGUCUUGACAUCAAUGAAUGUGAACUUUCAAGCAAAAACAACUGCUCUGCUAAUGCCAUAUGCAAUAAUUUGGUCGGUGGAUACAACUGCACAUGUAAAAGUGGGUUCAAUACUAGUGACGGAGGAAUAGAAUCUCUUUCAAAUCAGUGUUUAGACGUUAAUGAAUGUGUUUUGCCAAACAAAAACAACUGCUCAGUUAAUGCGACCUGUAACAAUUUUGCUGGCGGAUACAACUGCACAUGUAAAAGUGGGUUCAACACAAGUAACGGUGGAAUAGAAUCUCUUUCAAACCAGUGUUUGGACAUUAAUGAGUGUGCUUUGUCAAACAAAAACAACUGCUCAGUUAAUGCAAUCUGUAACAAUUUUGUUGGUGGAUAUAAUUGCACAUGUAAAAGCGGUUUCAACACAAGUAGCGGUGGAGUAGAGGCGCUCCUGAGCCAAUGUCUUGACAUCAAUGAAUGUGAACUUUCAAGCAAAAACAACUGCUCUGCUAAUGCCAUAUGCAAUAAUUUGGUCGGUGGAUACAACUGCACAUGUAAAAGUGGGUUCAAUACUAGUGACGGAGGAAUAGAAUCUCUUUCAAAUCAGUGUUUAGACGUUAAUGAAUGUGUUUUGCCAAACAAAAACAACUGCUCAGUUAAUGCGACCUGUAACAAUUUUGCUGGCGGAUACAACUGCACAUGUAAAAGUGGGUUCAACACAAGUAACGGUGGAAUAGAAUCUCUUUCAAACCAGUGUUUGGACAUUAAUGAGUGUGCUUUGUCAAACAAAAACAACUGCUCAGUUAAUGCAAUCUGUAACAAUUUUGUUGGUGGAUAUAAUUGCACAUGUAAAAGCGGUUUCAACACAAGUAGCGGUGGAGUAGAGGCGCUCCUGAGCCAAUGUCUUGACAUCAAUGAAUGUGAACUUUCAAGCAAAAACAACUGCUCUGCUAAUGCCAUAUGCAAUAAUUUGGUCGGUGGAUACAACUGCACAUGUAAAAGUGGGUUCAAUACUAGUGACGGAGGAAUAGAAUCUCUUUCAAAUCAGUGUUUAGACGUUAAUGAAUGUGUUUUGCCAAACAAAAACAACUGCUCAGUUAAUGCGACCUGUAACAAUUUUGCUGGCGGAUACAACUGCACAUGUAAAAGUGGGUUCAACACAAGUAACGGUGGAAUAGAAUCUCUUUCAAACCAGUGUUUGGACAUUAAUGAGUGUGCUUUGUCAAACAAAAACAACUGCUCAGUUAAUGCAAUCUGUAACAAUUUUGUUGGUGGAUAUAAUUGCACAUGUAAAAGCGGUUUCAACACAAGUAGCGGUGGAGUAGAGGCGCUCCUGAGCCAAUGUCUUGACAUCAAUGAAUGUGAACUUUCAAGCAAAAACAACUGCUCUGCUAAUGCCAUAUGCAAUAAUUUGGUCGGUGGAUACAACUGCACAUGUAAAAGUGGGUUCAAUACUAGUGACGGAGGAAUAGAAUCUCUUUCAAAUCAGUGUUUAGACGUUAAUGAAUGUGUUUUGCCAAACAAAAACAACUGCUCAGUUAAUGCGACCUGUAACAAUUUUGCUGGCGGAUACAACUGCACAUGUAAAAGUGGGUUCAACACAAGUAACGGUGGAAUAGAAUCUCUUUCAAACCAGUGUUUGGACAUUAAUGAGUGUGCUUUGUCAAACAAAAACAACUGCUCAGUUAAUGCAAUCUGUAACAAUUUUGUUGGUGGAUAUAAUUGCACAUGUAAAAGCGGUUUCAACACAAGUAGCGGUGGAGUAGAGGCGCUCCUGAGCCAAUGUCUUGACAUCAAUGAAUGUGACUUUUCCAACAAUAACAACUGCUCAGUUAAUGCAAUCUGUAAUAAUUUUGUUGGUGGAUACAAUUGCACAUGUAAAAGUGGUUUCAACACAACUAACGGUGGAAUUGAGUUGCUUUCAAAUCAAUGUCUAGAUAUUGACGAAUGUGCUUUGUCAAGCAAAAGCAAUUGCUCAGUUAAUGCAAUAUGUAUAAAUUUUGUUGGAGGGUACAAUUGCAUGUGUAAAAGUGGUUUCAUUACAAGUAUGGGUGAAGUAGAAACUCUAACAGACCUUUGUGUUGUCAAUCAAUGCAUUGUUGCAAAUCCUUGCAAUUGGUCAAACAGUCUUUGCUUAUACAAUAAUGGGAACUAUGAGUGCAAGUGUAAACCUGGUUGGGUUUUGGGUAACAGCAAUGUCAGCUGUGUUGAUUUUGAUGAAUGUUCUCAAGGUGUAUGUGGAGAUUUGAACUGUGUGAACAAAAUUGGUUCUUAUGAGUGUCAGUGCUUGUUUGGAACAAUAUUCAAUUCAUCAUCAAUGUUGUGUGAAGUUGUAAAUGAAUGCCAAGGAAUGAUAAAUGAGUAUAUAUGCAAUCCAGCUGAAGGCUUGUGUGUUAAUGUUCGCUUUCCUUUACAACCUAAAUGUCUCUGUCCUAAAGGCUAUGCAAUAUCAUUAGAAAAACGUACAUGUGAAGGUUACUCACUUUCAAAAAAGAUUAAAAGUUUUUGAAUUGUUAAAGAUGUCAAUGAGUGCUUAACGUGGUGUUUAGGUCCAAAUGCAAAAUGUCAAAACUAUGUUGGUGGUUAUCAGUGCACGUGUGCUGCUGGGUUUUCAUUUAAUUACGGAAUGCAUCAAUGUACUCGAAUCAAAAAUGAAACUUCAGACAAACUUUAUAAAGUAAUCACGGUGUUAAAAAGAAGAGGCUGUCGUUCUCUUCGUCAGAAAUGUAGUU
rnacentral:misc_RNA from 1 species